AUUGAACGCUAGCGGGAUGCCUUACACAUGCAAGUCGAACGAGAAAGCCCUUCGGGGUAAGUACAGUGGCGAACGGGUGAGUAACACGUGGGCAACCUGCCCCGGAGAGCGGGACAACCCGAGGAAACUCGGGCUAAUACCGCAUGAUGCGUCUCCACUUAAGUGGAGCCGCCAAAUGGUAGCUUCGGCCUCCGCUCUGGGAUGGGCCCGCGCCGGAUUAGCUAGUUGGUUGGGGUAAUGGCCCACCAAGGCGACGAUCCGUAGCUGGUCUGAGAGGACGAUCAGCCACACUGGGACUGAGACACGGCCCAGACUCCUACGGGAGGCAGCAGUGGGGAAUCUUGCGCAAUGGGCGCAAGCCUGAUGCAGCCAUGCCGCGUGUAUGAAGAAGGCCUUCGGGUUGUAAAGUACUUUCAGCGGGGAGGAAGGGAGUAAAGUUAAUACCUUUGCUCAUUAACGUUACCCGCAGAAGAAGCACCGGCUAACUCCGUGCCAGCCGCCGCGGUAAUAC
rnacentral:rRNA from 1 species